AGCGAACGCUGGCGGCAGGCCUAACACAUGCAAGUCGAACGGUUCCUUCGGGAUUAGUGGCGGACGGGUGAGUAACACGUGGGAGCGUGCCCUUUGGUUCGGAACAACUCAGGGAAACUUGAGCUAAUACCGGAUGUGCCCUUCGGGGGAAAGAUUUAUCGCCAUUGGAGCGGCCCGCGUCUGAUUAGCUAGUUGGUGAGGUAAAGGCUCACCAAGGCGACGAUCAGUAGCUGGUCUGAGAGGAUGAUCAGCCACAUUGGGACUGAGACACGGCCCAAACUCCUACGGGAGGCAGCAGUGGGGAAUCUUGCGCAAUGGGCGAAAGCCUGACGCAGCCAUGCCGCGUGAAUGAUGAAGGUCUUAGGAUUGUAAAAUUCUUUCACCGGGGACGACAAUGACGGUACCCGGAGAAGAAGCCCCGGCUAACUUCGUGCCAGCCGCCGCCGUAA
rnacentral:rRNA from 1 species